rnacentral:lncRNA from 1 species
UUCACAGAAUUCCAUGGCAACAAAACCAUCUGGAAUGAGGCGGCAAUUAUGACGUUAUUUAAUGUGAACAGCCUUACUGGAUCCAGGUGUGAAGCUGGGAUUUCAGCAGCGUGAGCUGAUGAGAAGCAGAGAAGCCUGAGCACAACUUCAGUAAAUGGCUAAGAAAACAGGCAACAGAGUCCUACCCACUCGGGCAUUAAUAGAAGAGGCCAACAAAACCCAGAGAAUAUUGGAAAGAAAGUCGAAGGAUUGGAAAGACACAGCAGCCAUCCACUUUCGGCAAACAAAGGUGCCCAGCCCAGGAAUGGGGCAUCAACAGUCCUGGACCACACUGACUCAGAAUUACUUGAGAGCUCCAUGAGUCUACACAGCCUCCAGAGAUCAGCACGACCCAGCCCCUGUCCUCUGCCCUCACGCCCAUGCCUUGACCCAGAGGGGCUCCGAUAGAGCUGGCCUUAAUGUCAGACAGAACUGGGUUCAAACUCCAACUCUGCCACUUGUGAACAGGCUGACCCUGGGCCAGUGCCCUCACAUUUCUGACAAUUCUGAGCAAGUUUUUCUGAGAGAAAACAAAGAACUUUUUAUAAACUGCCCCCCCAAAAAAUCACAGUAAAGGUGUUAUAAUAAAAAUGCCAGCCUCAUUACUAUGUCAUGGAAAG